UGCUGUUCAUCCCCUCCCUAGCUUUUGUUGUUUUUAGAGGACGUUGCCGCCACCGCCAUCCCCGACAACUCGACCUCCACCGUCAAGAUCAUAAGCCGCCACCGUGUCUCUCUAUCUCACCCUCACUGUGUGACCGACCUCCAUUAAUGGAACUCGCCUCCUGGGAUUGAGGUGCGACACCUCACUUGAGGUUGCGCAAUGCAGAUCUAAGGUCGCUCGAGUGUUUCCAUUAAUGGAGGUUGACGGUGAUCGACAGAUGAUGAUGAUGAUGAUGAUGAUGAAGCACCGAAUUAGCGCAUUUAGUAAGGUAAUGCUUUAGCUAGCGUAGCUCGUCCAUGCGUGCCGAAUGAGGCCGUGUCUCUCCUUGAAACUCUCUUGAUCUUCACUACCCCAUUCGCCUGUGGAGCAGGACCUUGAUUCCCAUCCACCGCAUUGUUCGAAAGAUGAGUUCGUUUUGCGCUCAAUGUGUUUGCGAGAAUGCUUCAACGAACUUGGAGGUGCAAGACUUUUGCCAAGCGGCACGCCAAGAUCGAGCCAGGCGGUCUCGCCAACCUUCAAUCUCAAUUGAGAGUACCCUCUCGCUCCUCAAACAAAUUCUUAUGACGAGAUUCGCUACACGAUUUACGUGCUUGAAUGCAGUCAUGGUGAUGGCGGUGGCAGCUUGCGGUGGCAAUGAUCGAAGAUUCGAAAUACCUUGCAGGGCAGCUGAAGAUGACAAGGAAGAAGACAAACAGUAGCGAGAAAGAAGGAAGACAAG
rnacentral:lncRNA from 1 species